rnacentral:rRNA from 1 species
GGAAGGAUCAUUACUGAAUUGUCAACAAGGGUUGUUGCUGGUCCUCAAACGGGGGCAUGUGCACGCUCUGUUCACACAUCCACUCACACCUGUGCACCCUCUGUAGUUCUAUGGUUAGUGGGGCCUGUCCCUCCCACCAUGGUUCUGCGUCUUUACCAUACACACUGUAACAAAGUCUCAUGGAAUGUGUACCGCGUUUAACGCAAUACAAUACAACUUUCAGCAACGGAUCUCUUGGCUCUCGCAUCGAUGAAGAACGCAGCGAAAUGCGAUAAGUAAUGUGAAUUGCAGAAUUCAGUGAAUCAUCGAAUCUUUGAACGCACCUUGCACCCUUUGGCCAUUCCGAAGGGCAUGCCUGUUUGAGUAUCAUGAACACCUCAACUCUUCGUGGUUUUCCAUGAUGAGCUUGGACUUUGGGGGUCUUGCUGGCCUGUGGUUGGCUCCUCUCAAAUGAAUCAGCUUGCCGGUUUUUGGUGGGCAUCACAGGUGUGAUAACUAUCUACGCUUGUGGUUUUCCACCAGGGGUAACCUUCAGCAGUGGAGGUCCACCGGAGCUUACAAACGUCUCUCCUCUGUGAGGACAGCCCUUUGAAUGUUUGAUCUCAAAUCAGGUAGGACUACCCGCUGAACUUAAGCAUAUCAAUAAGCGGAGGAAAAGAAACUAACAAGGAUUCCCCUAGUAACUGCGAGUGAAGCGGGAAGAGCUCAAAUUUAAAAUCUGGCGUGCCUCUGGCCGUCCGAGUUGUAGUCUGGAGAAGCGUCUUCCGUGUUGGACCGUGUAUAAGUCUCUUGGAACAGGGCGUCAUAGAGGGUGAGAAUCCCGUCUUUGACACGGACUACCAAUGCUUUGUGAUGCGCUCUCAAAGAGUCGAGUUGUUUGGGAAUGCAGCUCAAAAUGGGUGGUAAAUU